UGGUUAUAAAGUGGCGAACGGGUGAGUAACACGUGACCAACCUGCCCCUUAGAUCGGGAUAACUCAAGGAAACUUGAGCUAAUACCGGAUACUCCGAUUACAUCGCAUGGUGUUUUCGGGAAAGCUUUUGCGCUAAGGGAUGGGGUCGCGGCCUAUUAGGUAGUUGGUGGGGUAGAGGCCUACCAAGCCUGCGAUAGGUAGCCGGGUUGAGAGACUGAUCGGCCACAUUGGGACUGAGAUACGGCCCAGACUCCUACGGGAGGCAGCAGUGGGGAAUUUUGCGCAAUGGGGGCAACCCUGACGCAGCAACGCCGCGUGCGGGAUGAAGGUCUUCGGAUUGUAAACCGCUUUCAGUAGGGAAUAUUAUGAAGGUACCUACAGAAGAAGCACCGGCUAAAUACGUGCCAGCAGCCGCGGUAAUACGUAUGGUGCGAGCGUUAUCCGGAAUCAUUGGGCGUAAAGCGCGCGUAGGCGGCUUGUUAAGCAGGAAUUUAAAUCUUAGGGCUCAACCUUAAGUCGGUUCCUGAACUGGCAGGCUCGAGUGCGGUAGAGGAAGGUGGAAUUCCCAGUGUAGCGGUGAAAUGCGCAGAUAUUGGGAAGAACACCGAUGGCGAAGGCAGCCUUCUGGGCCGCCACU
rnacentral:rRNA from 1 species